GGCGUAUUGGUUAUGGUAUCUGGAUGGUACAUGGCGUCGACUAUCGCUUGGCAGGUUGAACGAUUGGCUGAUCGAACGAAAUCUGCCUUCGUUACUGUCCCUGGAUGAGUGGCAAUCUUCCGAACUUUGCACAAACGAAAUCUGACAAUGAAUGCUGUGGGUUCGCAAAGGAAUCGAGCUGGUGGCUGUUCUCAUCUGUCCUUUGCCUUCUUGUC